rnacentral:rRNA from 1 species
AACGAACGCUGGCGGCGUGGCUAAGACAUGCAAGUCAAACGGUCCCGAUUUAUUUAUAAGUCGGGACAGUGGCGAAAGGGUGAGUAAUGGAUAGGUAACGUACCCUGUGCUUCGGAAUAGCGUCUCCCGACUUGUCGGGAUACCGAAAGGGUCGGUAAUACCGAAUAAUAUCGCUUGUCGAUGGUCAAGCGAUCAAAGAUUUAUCGGCAUAGGAGCGGCUUAUCUCCUAUCAGCUUGUUGGUGAGGUAACGGCUCACCAAGGCAACGACGGGUAGCGGGACUGAGAGGUUGGCCCGCCACAUCGGGACUGAGACACUGCCCGGACCUCCACGGAGGGCUGCAGUAACGAAUAUUGCGCAAUGGGCGAAAGCCUGACGCAGCGACGCCGCGUGCGGGAGGAAGUCCCUCGGGAUGUAAACCGCUGUCAGGGGUAAGAAAGUCCGCUUCGGCGGAUUGAUCUAACCCAAAGGAAGUCACGGCUAACUUCGUGCCAGCAGCCGCGGUAAGACGAAGGUGGCGAGCGUUGUUCGGUGUUACUGGGCUUAAAGCGUGUGUAGGCGGAAAGGUAAGCGUCUUGUGAAAGCCCCCGGCUUAACCGGGGAAUUGCUCGGCGAACUGCCUUUCUUGAGGCAGGCAGGGGCGCAUGGAACUCUUGGUGGAGCGGUGGAAUGCGUAGAUAUCAAGAGGAACGCCGAUGGAGAAAUCAGUGCGCUGGGCCUGCCCUGACGCUGAGACACGAAAGCGUGGGGAGCGAACGGGAUUAGAUACCCCGGUAGUCCACGCUGUAAACGAUGUCUACUAGGUCGUGGAGGUUCUGACGCCUGCACGGCCGAAGCAAAAGUGUUAAGUAGACCGCCUGGGGAGUACGGUCGCAAGGCUA